GACGAACGCUGGCGGCGUGCUUAACACAUGCAAGUCGAACGGAAAGGCCCUGCUUUUGUGGGGUGCUCGAUUGGCGAACGGGUGAGUAACACGUGAGUAACCUGCCCCUGACUUUGGGAUAACUUCAGGAAACUGGGGCUAAUACCGGAUAGGAGCUCCUGCUGCAUGGUGGGGGAUGGAAAGUUUCGGCGGUUGGGGCUGGACUCGCGGGUUAUCCGCUUGUUGGUGGGGUAGUGGCUUACCAAGGGUUUGACGGGUAGCCGGCCUGGGAGGUGAGACAGGCACAUGAGGACUGAGAGACGGAGCAGUAUGCAACGGGAGGCAGUAGUGGGGAAUAUUGCACAAUGAGCGGAAGCGUGAGGCGACGACGCUCCGAUCGGGAUGCUGGGCUUCGAGUUGAAAACCGCUGUGGAAGGUGACGAAGCGGUAGUGACGGUAAUGGGUAAAGAAGCACCGGCUAACUACGUG
rnacentral:rRNA from 1 species